GACGAACGCUGGCGGCGUGCUUAACACAUGCGAGUCGAGCGGAAAGGCCCUUCGGGGUACUCGAGCGGCGAACGGGUGAGUAACACGUGAGUAACCUGCCCUAGGCUUUGGGAUAACCCCGGGAAACCGGGGCUAAUACCGGAUAUGACCUGGUGCCGCAUGGUGUUGGGUGGAAAGUUUUUUCGGCCUGGGAUGGGCUCGCGGCCUAUCAGCUUGUUGGUGGGGUGAUGGCCUACCAAGGCGAUGACGGGUAGCCGGCCUGAGAGGGCGACCGGCCACACUGGGACUGAGACACGGCCCAGACUCCUACGGGAGGCAGCAGUGGGGAAUAUUGCACAAUGGGCGGAAGCCUGAUGCAGCGACGCCGUGUGAGGGAUGAAGGCCUUCGGGUUGUAAACCUCUUUCAGCAGGGACGAAGCGUGAGUGACGGUACCUGCAGAAGAAGCGCCGGCCAACUACGUG
rnacentral:rRNA from 1 species